rnacentral:rRNA from 1 species
UACGUAGGGGGCUAGCGUUGUCCGGAAUCAUUGGGCGUAAAGAGCUCGUAGGCGGUUUGUCGCGUCUGCCGUGAAAGUCCGGGGCUCAACUCCGGAUCUGCGGUGGGUACGGGCAGACUAGAGGUAUGCAGGGGAGAACGGAAUUCCUGGUGUAGCGGUGAAAUGCGCAGAUAUCAGGAGGAACACCGGUGGCGAAGGCGGUUCUCUGGGCAUGAUCUGACGCUGAGGAGCGAAAGUGUGGGGAGCGAACAGG